rnacentral:rRNA from 1 species
AUUGAACGCUGGCGGCAUGCCUAACACAUGCAAGUCGGGCGAGUGGCGGACGGGUGAGUAAUGCAUGGGGAACUGCCCGUUGGAGGGGGAUAACCACUGGAAACGGAAGCCAAAUCCGCCUACCAUCCGAUGAACCCAUAUGGGAUUAGCUUGUAGGUGGGGUAACGGCUAACCUAGGCGACGAUCCCUAGCUGGUCUGAGAGGAGGAUCAGCCACACUGGGACUGAGACACGGCCCAGACUCCUACGGGAGGCAGCAGUGGGGAAUAUUGCCCAAUGGGCGCAAGCCUGAUGCAGCCAUGCCGCGUGUAUGAAGAAGGCCUUGGGGUUGUAAAGUACUUUCAGCGAGGAGGCGUUACCCGCAGAAGAAGCACCGGCUAACUCCGUGCCAGCAGCCGCGGUAAUUC